UAGAUGGCAUCAUGAGGAAGCAGAAUUAUGUGGAUAUAUUGAAGAAACAUCUCAAGGCAUCAGUCAGGAAGUUAAAGCUUGGUCGCAAAUGGGUCUUCUAAAUGAACAAUGACCCCAAGCAUACUUGAAAAGUUCUGGCAAAAUGGCUUAAUGACAACAAAGUCAAGGUAUUGGAGUGGCCAUCAAAAAGCCCUGACCUCAACCCUAUAGAAAAUUUGUGGGCAGAACUGAAUAAGCAUGUGUAAGCAAGGAGGCCUACAAACCUGACUCAGUUACACCAGCUCUGUCAGGAGGAAUGGGCCAAAAUUCACCCAACUUAUUGUGGGAAGCUUGUGGACGGCUACCCGAAACAAUUUAAAGGCAAUGCUACCAAAUACUAAUUGAGUGUAUGCAAACUUCAGACCCACUGGGAAUGUGAUGAAAGAAACAAAAGCUGAAAUAAAUCACUCUCUCUACUAUUCUGACAUUUCACAUUCUUAAAAUAUAGUGGUGAUCCUAACUGACCAAAGUCAGGUAAUUUUUACUAUGAUUAAAUGUCAGGAAUUGUGUACCUGAGUUUAAAUGUAUUUGGCUAAGGUGUAUGUAAACUUCUGACUUCAACUGUAUAUACUAUUAUACUAUUAGUUAAUUUUAGUAUACUGUAAACGAAUGUUAUCCUUUCAGUUGAGCGUAGUAGCGCUACGCCUGUCUACCAGAAGUUGAUGCUGUUGCUAUGCAACAUUUUAUGACUUCAUUAACAAUGCCCACUGAGAACACACAAUGACUAUACCACUUAGCUAAGCUAACACGGAACCCAAACCGGCUGCGUGCGUGCGCCAUUGUGCAAAAAUGUAUUUUGUCCCCCUACACCAAACGCGAUCAGGACACGCAGGUUAAAAUAUCAAAACAAACUCUGAACUAAUGGCAUUAAUUUGGGGACAGGUUGAAAAGCAUUAAACAUGUAUGGCAAUUUAGCUAGCUAGCUUGCUGUUGCUAGCUAAUUUGUCCUGGGAUAUAGACAUUGGAUUGUUAUUUUGCCUGAAAUGCCACAACCGACUGGAGUGUGGACCUCAGUUCAUCUUUCAAUCGCCCACAUGGAUAUAUGGUCCUAAAACCAAUGAGGAGAUGAGAGAGGUAGGACUUGCAGCGCAUCGAGCGUCACAAAUAGAACCAGGUUCUGUUUUAGCGCCUGGCCACACUGACGCUCGUGAGCAGUGUGGGUGCAAUUAUUGAAUAACAUGUAUGUGUACAUUUAUUUUGCAACGCUCGCAAACGUGUCCGGUCUGGUGAGCAUGUUAUGGACAAGAUUGAAGAUAACUUGAUUCCAUUUUAGCUGUAACGACGUGCGCUGAGAGUCGGGAAGCAAGUUCAGGGAGUGAGUGUUUGAUAAUAGCUACCAUGAAUUUCCCUGCCUGGUACAAGAUAGCAAUAUGACAAUAGCUUUAGUACAUUAGUAAAAAAGCUGUGAAAAAUAAUGCAUUUUGACUCUUAGCUCAGCAUUCAUGGAAAAUAACUGUUGUGUACAUGUUUUUUCAGUAGGAUUCCAGAAGAGCCACAGACCGUCCAGGGGCACAGACAGGGGUGGAGAAAGAAUUGGACAGGAUAACCUUGAAAGGGCAGCCCGACAGCAAGAAGAGGCUGGUCGAGAUGAGGGCUAAAUUGCAAGAGCUGUCCUUUGACGAAAGGGAAGAGGUGCUGGAGCUGGCCGCUUCCCGUCUACCUGGAGUGAUUCUUUUUUUCCAUCAUGGAGUACCAGAGAGCUAUCCUAGGGUAUCUGGACAACCUCCCUGGUGCACCUGCAUGAAUUGCAGGGAGACUCCUGCAUCUUACAACACACAAUUGCUGCCAUUUCACCACUGCAACAUUCCAUGUAUUUAUUACCAAGCAUGUUUACAUAACAGGUUAACACUUUCCAUGACUACACAUUAAUGUGUUCUUCAUUUGGAUCCCAUUGAGGAAAAAUACUCAAUGGGGAUGUCUUGGUAAGUUGUGUUUUGUGAUUUUUUUCCUUGGUCUGGGUGAUAUCACUUUGUUAGAAUGUUUCCCUUACAUUGUGCUUUUGUUAUUUUGAGGAAGGUUACAGAGACUACCUUGUAUUCUUGUUUAUCUUUCUAAUAAAACUAUUUGAGCUGA